UAACCAUCGCGUMGCCCCCAACACCCCRUGCACCGUAUGGUACAKGUGGUGGCUAGGGGCGRAGACUGGCCUCCCGUGCCCGUGCGCGGCUGGCCUAAAUGCGAGUCACUCGCGACGGACGCGRCAACAAGUGGUGGUUGAUUACCUCAACUCUAGUGCUGUCGU
rnacentral:rRNA from 1 species